CGGUUGAUCCUGCCGGACCCCACUGCUAUCGGGAUAGGACUCAGACAUGCUAGUCGUGCGCUUCCCAAGCCAAUAUUGAAGAAACGCGGCGCACAGCUCAGUAACACGUGGCUAACCUGCCCUUGAGACAGGGACAACCCCGGGAAACUGGGGAUAAUCCCUGAUAAACGAGGACUCCUGGAAUGGAUCCUCGUUGAAAAAACGCCUAGAGCAUGCUUCUAGGCGUUGCUCAAGGAUGGAGCCGCGGCCGAUCAGGUUGUUGGUGAGGUAACGGCUCACCAAGCCUUUAACCGGUACGGGCCGCGGGAGCGGUAGCCCGGAGAUGGGCACUGAGAUAAGGGCCCAGGCCCUACGGGGCGCAGCAGUCGCGCAAACUCUGCAAUACACGAAAGUGUGACAGGGCUAUCCCGAGUGCCGUCCGCUGAGGAUGGCUUUUCCACGCUGUAAGGAGGCGGAGGAAUAAGGAGAGGGCAAGACUGGUGUCAGCCGCCGCGGUAAUACCAGCUCUCCGAGUGGUGGGGAUGCUUAUUGGGCCUAAAGCAUCCGUAGCCGGCCCGGCAAGUCCCCCGUUAAAUCCAACAAUUCAAUUGUUGGACUGCGGGGGAUACUGCCGGGCUAGGGGGCGGGAGAGGCCGACGGUAUUCCCGGGGUAGGGGUGAAAUCCUAUAAUCCCGGGAAGACCACCAGUGGCGAAGGCUGUCGGCUAGAACGCGCCCGACGGUGAGGGAUGAAAGCUGGGGGAGCGAACCGGAUUAGAUACCCGGGUAGCCCCAGCUGUAAACUAUGCAGGCUAGGUGUUGGGGCGGCUACGAGCCGCUCCAGUGCCGCAGGGAAGCCGUUAAGCCUGCCGCCUGGGAAGUACGGCCGCAAGGCUGAAACUUAAAGGAAUUGGCGGGGGAGCAC
rnacentral:rRNA from 1 species